rnacentral:lncRNA from 1 species
GAGGGGAGGUGCGCUCGCCCUGCGCCUCGGCCCCUGUCAUGGCGGCUGGGGGGGGGUCGGAGCGGCGCGGCCCGCGGCGGGCUCGGUCUCAGUCUCUCCUCGCCGGCUGAGGGCAUUAACCAGGGCAAAGCGGCGCGGUGCCGCCCUGCUUCCCCCGGUUUGCCCGGUGUCACUUCAGGAGCGCCCCAGCGGUGAGCAGGCGGUGGGGGUGCAGCCUGUCCCGGAUCGCCCGGACCCCGCUGUCACACCGGGUGAAGAUCACACAGCACAGGCUCACAUCCUCACUCACGCUGUGACGGCUGCAACAAUGAGGAGUGGAAUCAGGAACCAAAGCCAACUCAUUAUACAGCAUCCAAAAGCUCAGACAUCUGAAGCUCCUGUGACCCCCAUUACUGUAGUACCCAAGAACAUCACCUCUGCUCGUGCACUGAUCCUCGCAGUACCUGAAGGAUGUUAGGCUGGCAUUAUUAUUAUUUCCUCCUGUUAUAGGUGGGAACUGAGGCGCAGAGAGGUCAAGUGACUCACCCAAAGGUGUUCUCUGAAAAGGGGUCCGGUGCUGUAUGCACACAACCAGUCUUUGGAUGGUAUCUAAAAUUCAGCCAUGUGAAUGUAGAAACAGGCUUAAAGAAAGCACAAAAC